ensembl:lncRNA
AUAGUUGUGUAUUCUUCGUUGUGGGUUCUUCUAGUUGUGGCAUGUGGGACGCUGCCUCAGCAUGGUCUGAUGAGCAGUGCCAUGUCCGCGCCCAGGAUUCGAACUAACGAAACACUGGGCUGCCUGCAGCGGAGUGCGUGAACUUAACCACUCGGCCACGGGGCCAGCCCCAACUUUUUCUAAUUUUUUAUUUUACACAAUUUCCCUCUCCCAUAUUUACUUAAAUGGUUGCAGGCAUGGUGUCUGUGUGUGCACGCACACACAUAUUUGUUGUAGCAUACGUUCUUUUUUUUAUAAAUGGCUUUAUUGAAAUAUAGUUCACAUAUCCUAUAAUUUAUCCAUUUAAAGUGUACAAUUCAAUGGUUUUUAGUAUAUUCACAGAGUGUACAACAAUCACCACAGUUUUUGAAAAUUUGAAUUACCCCAAAGAGUGUGUUUAAUUUUCACGUAGUGUGUUCGGUUUUAACAUAGUUGUGAAUUUCCCAAAUUUCUUUUAUUAGUUUCUAAUUUCAUUUUAUUGUGACCCGAGAACAUAGUUUGUAUGAUUUCAGUUCUUUGAACUUUGGGGGAUUGUGUUAUGGCCUAGUAUAUGUCUUUUCCUGGAGAAUGUUCCAUCGGCACCUGAGAAGAAAGCGUUCUGCUACUGUUGGGUGGAGUGUUCUGCAGAUGUGUUACAUCUAGUUGGUUUACCGAUUGGUCGUCUUCAAUUCCCUUGUUGAUCGUCUGCAUGCUUUUCUAUCCAUUAUCCAUUAUCCCCUCCAAUAUUGGGGGACUGAAGUCUCCAGUUACUAUUGAUGCAUUGUCUAUUUCUCCCUUCAGUCCGUCAGUUUUGCUUCAUGUAUUUCGGGGCUUCCUGUGAGAUCCUGUAGCCCCAGCCUGGGAGCUGGGGAGAGGGAGCCCAGUGGUCUUAGUGGCACCCCCUGGAGUAGAGUUUCUAUCUUGCUGAGCUGAUUGUAACUCAGAUGCAGAUUCUGUCUAUUCUUACUGACAUUUAGUAGAUUUUCUUGAAUAAAUGUUUUUCUAUUUGCUGUAUGCCCUGAGGAAAAUUUCCAGAGAUUUUAAAUGGCUGUUUUUUGUUAAUAAAUUUCGCCAGUUAUAAUUGUUCCGCUGGGGGGAAGGUCCAUGGUUCUCCUUAUGCUGCUAUUCUGGAAGUUUCCUUCCUGUAUGUUCUUUUAAAUCAUUAAAAAACAAAAGAACUCACAACAUUUUAGAUACAAGUCCUUAUAUGUCAGAAAGGAACUUGAUAAACGAAACCUUGCUUCCCAGGAAUCCUGAGAAUUGCUGAAAAUCUGAUGUCUUCUAAAACAAUCUGAGGAACCAGGGAAGUAAAAUGAAUGACACAAAUGUGACUUCCAAGGAUUACCAUUAUGUUUUAGACCAGUAAUUCCUCUGGAGUUAAAAGUUUCUAAACAUUAGAAACAAAUGUUAAGUAAAUGAUUUAAAUUUACUUAUUUGCCCAUUAAAUGAUUGACUCAUCAACUUUGCUUAACAUUAAAUAGACAAACAAAACACAUGUGGAUUUACCCACAGACUUCCUUGUGGUAGAGACCGUCCUGCUCACUUAGUUCUGCUGGUUGAUUUAUAUAGAUAGAUAGAUAAAUAGAUACAUUUGGGGGGACUGGAUAAACAUUCCUGCUUUUUGUAAUGCCGGUGUAUCAAAUGCAUUUGACUCUAACUUAUCCUGUGAUUUUUAACUGUUAACUUUCCAUUUACCACAAUCCUGGUGCAUAACAUUGUUUAUCUAAUUACUUGCUCAGAUGUGUGUAUAAAUUAUACAGGUAAGAAUAAAUGGCUCUGGAGACCAUUUUUAGUAAAAAUAUUGGUUUUAUGGUCCUGAUCUGACAUUUUCAGUUUUGGUCAUGCAACUUCUUUCCACUGGGCACCCACCCUCUUUCAAUACCUACAUUGUCUUUUCAUUUCUGUUCUCUGUGAGGCUACUGAUGUAUUUUUGUGUCUCAUUUUUUGGCUAUUGUUCACUGUUACAAGAUUGCUUCCCAAUAAAUCUCAUAUGCCCUUCCUCCCCCUUUUUUUGUGGAUGUAAAGUAGUGACCCAUCGGAGCGCCCUAUCACUCAUUAGCAAUGGAAUGUUCUCUAUAAAGUAUGGUUUCUGUCAACAUCGGCUGCUAACUCCGUUUACACUCUUUGAAUAUAAUUAGUCUUUCUUUCUUACAUAGUGCAAGUAGUCAAUCAUUUCAUGGGACCCUUGCGAGUGUCCUUUCUCUGGCCUGUGGAUUAUUGUCUGUGUUUAGGUUUUUUGUUGUUGUUUGUUUGUUUCAAACAAUU